rnacentral:rRNA from 1 species
UGCCAGCAGCCGCGGUAAUACGAGGGGUGCAAGCGUUAAUCGGAAUUACUGGGCGUAAAGCGUUCGUAGGCGGUCUAUUAAGCAAGAUGUGAAAGCCCAGGGCUCAACCUUGGAACUGCAUUUUGAACUGGUAGACUAGAAUAUGAUAGAGGGAAGUGGAAUUUCUAGUGUAGCGGUGAAAUGCGUAGAUAUUAGAAGGAACACCAGAGGCGAAGGCGGCUUCCUGGAUCAUUAUUGACGCUGAGGCACGAAAGCGUGGGGAGCAAACAGGAUUAGAUA